rnacentral:lncRNA from 10 species
GUUAAAACCCUACUAUUGGCCAGGCAUGGUGGCUCAUGCCUGUAAUCCCAGCACUUUGGGAGGCCAAGGCGGGUGGAUUGCUUGAGGCCAGGAGUUUGAGACCAGCCUGGCCAACAUGGUGAAACCUGUCUACUAAAAAUACAAAAAUUAGCCGGGUAUGGUGGUGGGUGCCUGAAAUCCCAGCUACCCAGAAGGUGGAGGGAGGCAGGAG